UGCAAGUCGAGCGGACAGAAGGGAGCUUGCUCCCGGAUGUUAGCGGCGGACGGGUGAGUAACACGUGGGUAACCUGCCUGUAAGACUGGGAUAACUCCGGGAAACCGGAGCUAAUACCGGAUAGUUCCUUGAACCGCAUGGUUCAAGGAUGAAAGACGGUUUCGGCUGUCACUUACAGAUGGACCC
rnacentral:rRNA from 1 species